rnacentral:lncRNA from 1 species
CCCAGAGUAACCAACACCGAGACGAAUAGCGAGGGCUCGGGGAGAAAAAACGGAGGAUGGCAAACGGCAAAGCCAAGGGCACGAGGUAGCGCAGCGCGCACCCAGAGGCUCCUGGGACGGACACCACCCCACGCUCACGGGUCCUCUGGCGGUGUCCUUUGAGCUGCCGGGACGGCGCAAGGUGGCUGAGCGAGGCUUUUUGCUCGGUGCUUACAGGGAGUACCUGAGAUGGUUUGGGAAAGGAAACAGGGGGUCUCAGACCGCUUGGGUGCAGCGCUCUCCCCAUGCGUUUGAGUGCAGAUCUGUCGAGACGCCCCAGCCUUCGCCACCCCACCAAGCUCUCAGGUAGAGAGGCCCCGGGACAGGGUGAGCCCCAUAGUCCUUUGGUGGGCAUAACACAGAGGGAGGAGCAAUUGUUUACACAUGUGCCCAGUACAAGAAGGGAAACUGAUAUUUAAGACUGAAGUGGGGAAACGGGAGGGAAAGGAGCCCUUAUCCUGGAUGUUAGACGCUAUUAAGGACCAUGCUAUUUUGUAUUUGUGAGAAUGAUAUUGAAGGAAACCUGUUUAUGCACCCUGCUGCAAUCCCACCACCUGCCCAGGCCAAGUGAGCCCCUCUCCGCUACUGGUGUUUCAUAAUGCUGGGAGCUACUUUGAUUUCAUGCAUUGCCCUUCAGCUGCCAUGUUAUGAGGACACUUGGAGAAAGCUACAGGAGAGGAACUGAGGUCUCCUGCCAUCAGCCACUUGAGUGAGCAUGGGAGUGGAUUCUCCAAACUCCAGUUAAGACUUGAGAUGUCCACAGUGGCAGCCACUAGCUUGACUGCAACUUACGAGAGACACUGAGCCAGAGGCACUCAGCUAAGUCAUACACAGUUUCCUGACCCGUAAAACCUGUGACACAAUGAAGGUUUGUUGUUUUGGGGGUAAUCCGUUAUUCAGCAAUAGAUAACGAAUACAGAAGGCUUGUAAUUGUAUAACCAACGUGAGUUUAUAAGCGGAUAUCUGAC